CAGCGAAUUUUUUGAAAAAAAAAUUUAAAAAAAAAAAAACUUCGCCCAAAGGAGACUACAGACCCGAAUUUCGCCCAAUAGUUUUGGCAGGACCUUAACCUACUUCUCUCCUCCCCCAUAACGCCGCCCAGCCUUCUCUCCUCCGCCUAGCCGUUUGUCCGCGGCUCACCUCACCUCGUCUGCCCAGCCGGCAGCCGUCCAGUACAGCAGUACUCCGUUUCCGCGGCUCACCAAGUUCUCAACUCCUCAAGUAAUGCGAGCCCAGCCACUCAGCUAGAGCAGCCUCCCCGGCCGGCGGCCGCCCACCUCAACGCGUGCCCAGCAGGAACUCCGACAGCCGCCUGCCCGCCCACCUCACGAGUCACCAUUCACCAAUCACCAUUCGGUCCAUUCUCCAGAGACGCAACUCACGCAAGUUUGAGUAAUGCAUCAGUUGGUUAUUGUUGCUGGGAAGGAGCAACGGUUCUGCUAGCAAUGUACCAGGUAAAAAAAAAUGAUACUCCUUCCUUCUCAAAAUAAAUGUCUUGAUAGACCAUUGAGUCAUUGACCUUGUUAAAGGUGCGCUGAUAAGAAACUACUCUAUAUAUUAAGUUGCUGGUGUUGAUUGUAGAAAAGUGGGUCUAUUGAAAAUGUAGGUACAUAGAGUAAUGAAUUUUGGGUGCUGCACUGAUUCUGUUGCAUCACCUUUGGUAUGCUAUAUCUUUGCUUUUUUUUCCUGUCAUAGUAUAUACUGCAAUCCCUUAGGUUUCAGUCCCUUGAAGAGUUUGACGAGGUUAAGAGAAGCUGCAGAAAACGGUUGGAUGUACAUAAUCGACGUAGCAAGAAGAGACAGCCUGAAGCCUUUUACAUGCCUAAUUCUGUUGUUGCCUUUUUGUCAUCUCAUACAGCUUCCUGAUCUUUACUUCAAAAAUAAUCAAGAAACAAUUUAUGAGCCACUUCUGAAUGGGGUUGGUCAAACCGGAAGUAGGACACUGAAGGUUCCGGCUGACAACUCAGGAUUUGCUCUCUCUCUUCUGUCAAGGUAUUGAUCAGAUAUCUGUGUGGAACUUGUUAUGCAACCAAGACCUAUUAGUUCAUCAACAGUUCAAGGUCAAGGUAUUAUUGCUAUUGAUGAAAAAUCUUUCGGUCCAUUUGCUAAGCCCUAAAUUUGAGGAAUAUGGAAUUCCGGAGUGCAAGCUGAAGUUUCCGGAGUGCAACCUUUUGCUGCUCCUACUGAUGUGCAUCCUCAUUCAAGAAGACCGCAGGCUGAUUUUCUUUGCUUGAGUAAUGAACCUGUACACGGAUUAGGGGAAGGGUAUUGUUACAUUAUGUUUUUUCCUUUCCCAUUUUGUAAACGCGUAGGAGUAACUUGUAAAACGUACUUGUAAAAUGUACGCUAUUUU